GUCUACAGCCAUAACACCCUGAGCAUGCCUGAUCUCACCCAUCCUUGGAAGCUAAGCAGGGUCAGACCUGGUUAGUAUUGGGUGGGAGAAAUGUUUUCUAUCCCUUGCUCUGAGAAAGGAGGUACUGAACUGUAAACA
ensembl:rRNA 5S_rRNA 5S ribosomal RNA